AGCUCCCAAAACGCUUUCAACAAAUUCCCUUUGUGCUUAAAUUAGCCCGACUGCGAUUUUCCUGCUUGCAACUAAGAAACGUGUGGUUCUUGGUUCCGAACUGCUGAGCUGAGCCGGGUUGCGUCUGGUGACCUCAGCCCUCACCGGCCACAGACCCUGAUGGGCCCACAGGGGAAGCGAAGGGCACGGUUUCCAUGCAGUGACCUUGAGUUGCCUUCUACGGCGUGGGCAGAGCGCGAGAGCAGUUUCAGGCCUAAGGGAGGAGCAUCCGGAUGAAUAGCUGCCCGCGAAUAAGGACGAUUGAGAGCCACGCGACAUCUGUCAGGGAUCUCGUCCUGCCCCUGAAGAAACGCCGGGCAUGUUUCCCGCCUCCCCGGCCGAUGGAGCUCCGCAUGGGGUUGGCCCAGCCUCCAUCCAGAGUUCGUCUUUG
rnacentral:lncRNA from 10 species